rnacentral:rRNA from 1 species
CAAGUCGAGCGGUAGCACAGAGAAGCUUGCUUCUUGGGUGACGAGCGGCGGACGGGUGAGUAAUGCAUAGGAAUCUGCCCGAUAGUGGGGGAUAACCUGGGGAAACCCAGGCUAAUACCGCAUACGUCCUACGGGAGAAAGGGGGCUCCGGCUCCCGCUAUUGGAUGAGCCUAUGUCGGAUUAGCUAGUUGGUGAGGUAAAGGCUCACCAAGGCAACGAUCCGUAGCUGGUCUGAGAGGAUGAUCAGCCACAUCGGGACUGAGACACGGCCCGAACUCCUACGGGAGGCAGCAGUGGGGAAUAUUGGACAAUGGGCGCAAGCCUGAUCCAGCCAUGCCGCGUGUGUGAAGAAGGCCCUCGGGUUGUAAAGCACUUUCAGCGAGGAAGAACGCCUAGCGGUUAAUACCCGCUAGGAAAGACAUCACUCGCAGAAGAAGCACCGGCUAACUCCGUGCCAGCAGCCGCGGUAAUACGGAGGGUGCAAGCGUUAAUCGGAAUUACUGGGCGUAAAGCGCGCGUAGGUGGCUUGAUAAGCCGGUUGUGAAAGCCCCGGGCUCAACCUGGGAACGGCAUCCGGAA